CGAUGGCGAAGCAGCAGGAUCGAGGAGACGGAGAACGCAGGACAGCGAUACAUCUUAUAUUUCCAGGAAAGUCCUUUUUCCCGCCCGUUCCUGUCAUCGCUGCCAUUGUUAUCGUGGUUGUCUACCUUCGGCUUCGGUCGCUUUGAGAAUUCUACACACCGUGGACGAUGGGCGUAUCCUGCCGCAAUAUGGAAAUGCGACUGUAACGCUCCAUCGUGUGAUCUCAACAAAGUCAUAUCGUAGUCGCGACAAAGAAUUUCUCCCUUGACAAAUUAUUGCAGCAGAGACGUCACGACAUGCGACGACCUCAACUUCCAAUGAAACUUAAAGUAACGUCACACUAAUAUCAUCAAAAAACGAAUAAACGAAAUGGAUGCAUACACGUGUCUCGGUGGAAACCUUCGUCAUGGAUGUCUCCGCACACCGGAGUGAUGUAUCGUUUGCCCGACAUUUAUAUAUUAGCUGCCACUUCUGCGUGGCACUUAAUCAAAAUCCGCUUCGUAAAGGCCGGCCGUGCGCGAAUUAAAUUAAUUCAUCAUGAAAGUUCACCCCCGUGGAAAGCCCGGACAUCUGGCCGGCGAUGUCCGCCAAAUUUUCCACUCAGAGCACAGGCGGCGAGAGGCUUUAAGAAGGGGCCGCGCGAUCGAUUCGCGAAAAUUACAAACUACAUACACCGAAAGAGAUUCUCUUUUCUGGUUUUACCAGCCGAUUGCCGGUCGGGUAUUUUCGCGCGUCACCUUGUUGCGGAAAGUAAAUUUCGCGCUGCGACAAACACAAAGUGCGAGUAACGCCAUUAUCGCCCGCGCAAGAAAAUUUCCAUUCUCCGCGUAAUCUUACGGUGAUCUAACUUUAAGUGCUUGAGGGAUUUGCCAAACUGAGAGAAUACACACGGUGCGCACAGCUGUUAUGCGCGUAAAGCCGAGGAGGCAUGUAUACGGCGAUUGGUGUGCGCACCGAACGCCUUACGAGUUUUAUGAUAAAACUGCGAACUUGGGGCGGACAAGCGCACGCUCGGUAUUCCAUUGGUUCCAGAAACGGUGUUUCACGAGUAAAUAUAUAUAUCGCUGGAUUUCUCAUGAAACAAGAAAAGAGACUCCCGAGAUCUUUCUCGGCUGAGUUAUAAAACGGCAAGUAGUUUGGAAAAGAAAAUAUAUAAGCGUAACAUUUUGUUAAGCUUUAUAUCGAAGAAAUCGUCGUCUUUGAAAGCGAGGCUUGUACCGUUCGUCGUCAUUUUUAUAUCGAGCCACGCUACACCUUUGUUCUCCUCUUCGGGUAAGCAGCGUUCAAAGAUUAAGCGCUGGUUAUAUAUCGUAUUUCACAAGCAGCUGCGUGUAGCUGUGUCGCGAUUUAGCGUUGUAUUUUUAACACGUCGCGUACAAAAGGCAACGCACCGGUCUUACAUGAUCGAUAAAUUCGCGAAUCUGUCCGUGAAAGCUUUCCCCGAAGCUACAGUAAAAAUAAUUUAGUCAUCUCGUCGUCUUUAACUGGAAUAUUGUCGUACGCGUAAUUUCUUCGGAGACUCU